ACCACAUACUAGACCAAUAUAUAAUUGUCCUUUAUUCUUGUUAUGUUUUCCAAAUCCCAGUUACUAUUUACAUAGCAACAAGGCAUUUUCUUAUGAUAAAAAAUCUCUAUAUUUUUUUCUACUUGACAUUAUUUUUCAGUGGAAAAAAAAUGGCUGAAUUUACGAGUACAUCGACGAAGCUUGAAGAACAAGUAAUGGAUAGAGAAGAAGAGAAAGGUGAUGAGAAACCAAGAGAAUUAUUUCUAGCAGAGCUGAAUCUUGUUCUUGUUUUAUCAUUUUUUUCGUUAUCAUCUGAAGAACGAAAACUAGAAGAAUUUGAGAUCGAUAAUGAUAAAGAUCAUCAAGAACACAAUAUUAUUUCUAAAGUUAGUUCCAAGAAACGCGGAGGAAUCAAUAAAUACAAAGCUACUGAUCAACAUGAAUUUCCCAGGUUUCAAACCAAGAUUAAGGAUUGCAGACACUGCAGAAGAAUGUGAAGAAUAACAUCUUUAGGGCAAACCAAGCAAAAAGAAAGAAAGAAAGGUCUUUUUUCCGUUUAUGGAUACAUCACAAUGAAGAAAGAGGCAUUUGUAUUCUACUAAAUAAUUUUGAUAAAAAAAAAUAUUCAGCAUUUCAUAGAAAAAGAAGUAGAUAAAUAAAAAAAAAGUUUUGUAGUCUUAUAUAAUUACAACUAAACAAUGUAUAGACAAAUCUAGUGAUGUUAUUCACUCUUUAGUUUGUCAACAUAGAUCAAAAGUCAUCUAUGUCAAUGUAUAAUUAUUCUUGCUUUUA